rnacentral:rRNA from 1 species
UACGGGGGGGGGCAAGCGUUGUUCGGAAUUACUGGGCGUAAAGGGCUCGUAGGCGGCCAACUAAGUCAGACGUGAAAUCCCUCGGCUUAACCGGGGAACUGCCUCUGAUACUGGAUGGCUUGAGAUUGGGAGAGGGAUGCGGAAUUCCAGGUGUAGCGGUGAAAAUGCGUAGAUAUCGGGAGGAACACCAGUGGCGAAGGCGACUACCUGGCCU